UACGAAGGGGGCUAGCGUUGCUCGGAAUCACUGGGCGUAAAGGGUGCGUAGGCGGGUCUUUAAGUCAGGGGUGAAAUCCUGGAGCUCAACUCCAGAACUGCCUUUGAUACUGAGGAUCUUGAGUACAGAAGAGGAGAGUGGAAUUCCACGUGUAGCGGUGAAAUUCGUAGAUAUCGGGAGGAACACCAGUGGCGAAGGCGGCGACCUGGACAGAUAUUGACGCUGAGGUGCGAAAGCGUGGGGAGCAAACAGG
rnacentral:rRNA from 1 species